rnacentral:rRNA from 1 species
AAUUUAAAGUCUAAUCUGCCCACUGAAAUUAUAUUAAAGGGCUGCAGUAUAUUGACUGUACAAAGGUAGCAUAAUCAAUAGUCUUUUAAUUGAAGACUUGUAUGAAGGAUUUAAUGAGAUAUAAACUGUCUCUAAUUUAUUAAUAGAAAUUAAUUUUUUAGUUAAAAAGCUAAAAUUUACUUAAAAGACGAGAAGACCCUAUAGAGUUUUAUAUUUAUAUUAUUUAAGAUUAUAUUUAUAAUUAAAAAUUAAAAGUAAUAUAAAUAUUUUGUUGGGGUGAUAAAAAAAUUAAAAUAACUUUUUUUAAAAUUUAACAAAAAUAAUUGGGAAAUUGAUCCAUAAUUUAUGAUUAAAAGAAAUAAUUACCUUAGGGAUAACAGCGUAAUAUUUUUUUUUAGUACAAAUAAAAAAAAAAGUUUGCGACCUCGAUGUUGGAUUAAGAUAAAAUUUAAAUGCAAAAGUUUAAAAUUUUGAUCUGUUCGAUCAUUAAAAUCUUACAUG